rnacentral:rRNA from 1 species
UACGUAGGGGGCGAGCGUUGUCCGGAAUUAUUGGGCGUAAAGAGCUCGUAGGCGGCUUAGUAAGUCGGCGGUGAAAUACCGAGGCUCAACCUCGGCACUGCCGUCGAUACUGCUAUGGCUAGAGUUUGGUAGAGGAGAACGGAAUUCCCGGUGUAGCGGUGGAAUGCGCAGAUAUCGGGAGGAACACCCGUAGCGAAGGCGGUUCUCUGGGCCAAUACUGACACUCAGGGACGAAAGCUAGGGGAGCGAAUGGG